rnacentral:rRNA from 1 species
GAUGAACGCUGGCGGCGUGCCUAAUACAUGCAAGUCGAGCGAACGGACGAGAAGCUUGCUUUUCUGAUGUUAGCGGCGGACGGGUGAGUAACACGUGGAUAACCUACCUAUAAGACUGGGAUAACUUCGGGAAACCGGAGCUAAUACCGGAUAAUAUUUUGAACCGCAUGGUUCAAAAGUGAAAGACGGUCUUGCUGUCACUUAUAGAUGGAUCCGCGCUGCAUUAGCUAGUUGGUAAGGUAACGGCUUACCAAGGCAACGAUGCAUAGCCGACCUGAGAGGGUGAUCGGCCACACUGGAACUGAGACACGGUCCAGACUCCUACGGGAGGCAGCAGUAGGGAAUCUUCCGCAAUGGGCGAAAGCCUGACGGAGCAACGCCGCGUGAGUGAUGAAGGUCUUUGGAUCGUAAAACUCUGUUAUUAGGGAAGAACAUAUGUGUAAGUAACUGUGCACAUCUUGACGGUACCUAAUCAGAAAGCCACGGCUAACUACGUG